rnacentral:lncRNA from 1 species
AAAACUUGGUAUCCUUACCUAUAUAUAAGUAUAAUUUAUAUAUACUUGGUAGUGCCUUGCAAAAAUAGAGAAAAUCUUUUUUUUUUUUUUUAACAAAAAGGGCAAUCUAUGUACUAGUAUUCUUAUAUGUAAACAUAUACCGCACACAUAUAUACAUAUUCGGUAGUAACAGGUUAUGGGAUAAAAUAUUUUGGCAUCAUUUGAGCUUCAAAUUAAAGAUUGAUUAUCCGAAUCAAUUAUUCAAAGCUCGGGUUCUACUAGCGUUAUUUUGAGGCUUUGCGAAAAGGCUUUUCGCGUUGGCGUCCAGGUAGGGUAGGCUUACCCUACCUUUUAAUUGAACUUAUAUACCGAAAUUGUGAACUAUUAUUCUAUCUUUCGAUAAGUGUUUGUAGAUGCAUAUUUUUUAAUAAAUAUAACCUGUCUUAUUUAUCCAGAUUAGGACCCCGUUGUAGCAAACUUUGGUAUUUUGUCUUUCGAUAUAUUAUAGCAUCUAUCAUUUUAGGACUUGAAAUUAAAUUGCAAAACCUUGAAAUUGCCCCUUUAAAAUUAAGACAUGCGUACGAUAAUUAGACGUAUUUUAGCUGUUGUUCAGGUUUAGUAUAUAUUUUAUUUCUUUCAUUGAUUGUGAACUUUUGUACCAUACAGUAUGGAUUUUAAUAUUACCAUUGGGUAUGGUUACUAUGAGUUCCGGUUCGAGUCCCACAUUUGAUUAUUAUUAUUACUAUGAGUUCCGGUUCGAGUCUUGUAUUUGAUUAUUAUUGUUACUAUGAGUUUCGAUUCGAGUCCGGCAUUUGAUUAUUAUAGUUACUGUGAGUUUUGAUUUGAGUCCAACAUCUGAUUAUAGUUAUGGUUCCUCUGAGUUCCGGUCCGAGUCCAGCAUCUGAUUAUGAGUUCUAUAUAUGUGGCCUAUUGUUAUUAUCCACUAUGUCCGGUUCGAAUCCGACAUGUGUCCUCUAGGUAUUAUCCAUCACUACCAGUUCGAGUCCGGUGUAUGGCCUCUCUUUACUUUCCAUUGGUGGUGGUUCGAGUUCGGUGCACAUCUGGAUGACUAUUAUGAUUUAUUGGGAUUAACGCAGUUAUAGAUUAUUUAUGUUUAGUUUCAUUACUUAUGUGUUCCACCGGCUUAUGGGGGUACGGUUGGGUUAAUUUUCUUCUUCAUUGUGCCUGGCGGACUUAUGGGGGCACAGUUAGGUUAUGUUUUAUUUGUCUGUCAUUACUGCAUUAUUUAUUUUUUGUAUCGCUUACAUUUAUUCCUUUAUCUCAUUGGUGUUCAUUAUAGCAUUAUUUAUUUUCUGUAUCGCUUAUAUUUAGUCCUUUAUCUUAUUGGUGUAGCUUGGCAGAUGUUUACCCUUUCUGUCUCUUUUUACUGUUGACUUGGAUUAUAUCCUCGCAUUGUAGUUAUACCUUUUUUGUAUUGAGCUCAGUCGACCGAUGAUGCCUACUGAGUAUCCAUUUCUUUGGUACUCAUACUAGACUUCUACAUCUUUUUCCUGAUGCAGAUCCAGGUACUAGCAGUCGAUCUUGAUGUAGUUCCUACCUUUCAGUACUGGUUCGGAGCAGGGUGAGCUUACUGUUGUCCGAGGAUGAUCCUCCUCUAUCUACUCCAGUUAGUCUUUUGCACUCGAGACUGCUUG